GAGUAUUAAAACUAAUAUUAAAAUGAAAAAUUUUCUUCAAAAAAAAUAUUUAAAGAAAUUAAUUAAUUAAAAGGAACUCGGCAAAUUUAGUUGCUUCGCCUGUUUAUCAAAAACAUGGCUCUCUGCCUAUGUAUAUAUAAAGAGUCGAGCCUGCCCAGUGAAAUUUUCAACGGCCGCGGUACUCUGACCGUGCAAAGGUAGCAUAAUCAUUUGCCUUAUAAUUGAAGGCUAGUAUGAAUGGUUUGACGAGAGCAACGCUGUCUCUUUUUUAUUUUCAAGAACUUAACUUUUAGGUGAAGAGGCCUAAAUUUUAUUGAAGGACAAGAAGACCCUGUCGAGCUUAAAAGACAUCAUAGAAGUCUAUAUAUUUUUAAAUAAAUUUCCUAUUAAGCUUUUUAGUUGGGGCGACUAAGGAACAAAAAAAGCUUCUUGUUAAUAUUAAACGGUCACGUUUAGAUCCGAUAAUAAUCGAUCAAAGAAAUUAGUUACCGCAGGGAUAACAGCAUAAUCUCUCUUGAGAGACCUAAUCGAAAGAGGGGGUUGUGACCUCGAUGUUGGACUAGAAUAUCCUAAAGAUGCAGAAGUCUUUAAGGGUCGGUCUGUUCGACCGUUAAAAUUUUACGUG
rnacentral:rRNA from 1 species